GUUGGAGAAGAUAUACCUGGUUCUGCAGUGACUUGAUAUUCCAGAGUAGAGUAUGAGACAUGAAGAGCCAAGUCUCUGCUGAAAUCCCCGUCUGGCUGGCUCACUCUAACUAAGGCACUAUUGAGCUCACAACUACCUCUUCUGGAAUGCAAAAUGACUUCCUAGUUUUACCUGCCACCCUGCAACAAUAUUUUCAAUUAUUGGUUAAAUUGCAAAUGCCCCACGAGUCAUUUAAAUAAAUCUCACAUAUAUAAAAUA